CUUUCCCUCAACCCUCCUUUUAAAACCUUUACAACGUAAUUUCAACUUCUGUCUUCGAAAGAGCAUAUAACCUUUGGUGCUCAUUUUUGCAAGUAGCUUCUACGUUCUUCCUGCAUAUAUAUUUCAAAUGAUAAAAAGGAAUGUAAACCCCAGUGAAAAUAAGUUUCUCUGCUAGUAGCUCUCGAGUGAGAGUGCUUUGGGUUGUUUUGAUAUUUUCUUUAAGCCCUCUGUUUUCUAAGUAGCACCACGGUUUAAAAAAAAAAAUCCUGCUUCAUUUCAUCUCACUUCUGUACGACUGUGCUUCAUCCCCGAAUCAUGGAGACUGCCUCGCUUUCCAAACUCUUCGAACAUCAACAUGUGGGGACUGAGGGAUGCUGAAUUUGUUUGAGAUGCUGCCAUCCCGGGGAAAGGUUUAGUGCAAAAAGAAAAUCGGAGUAUUGAAAUAUAAAAAGAUCUAAAGUCUAAUAGUGAUUUCUUUGAGAGGAUAUAUUAUCUCCCAAGUACAAAACAUAACACUCUUUCUUUUCAAUUUUAAGGUGAAGAAACUGAAUUCCAGAGAGAUUAAAUCAUUUACAGAGCCUUGCAGAGGUACCUUGAAUUUGAACCAAUGUCUUCUUAUGCCAGAGGAAGCAUCUUUUACCUU